GGCCUGGCUGGUCGGUCCGCCUAACCGCGUGCACUGAUUCGGCCGGGUCUUUCCUUCUGGCUAACCCCAUGCCCUUCACUGGGUGUGGCGGGGAUCCAGGACUUUUACUUUGAAAAAAUUAGAGUGUUUAAAACAGGCAUUUUGCUUGAAUACAUUAGCAUGGAAUAACGGAAUAGGACU
rnacentral:rRNA from 1 species